CAAAAGCUUGGUCCUGACUUUCUUAUCGGCUAUAACUAAAUUUAUACAUGCAAGCAUCUACCCCCCUGUGAGAAUGCCCUCGACCUCCUAAUUGGAAACGAGGAGCAGGCAUCAGGCUCGCUCCCUGCAGCCCAAAACGCCUUGCUAAGCCACACCCCCAAGGGAAUUCAGCAGUGAUAAACAUUAAGCUAUGAGUGAAAGCUCGACUUAGUGAAAGUAUUUAGGGCCGGUAAAACUCGUGCCAGCCACCGCGGUUAUACGAGAGGCCCAAGUUGAUAAAUGCCGGCGUAAAGUGUGGUUAGGGAAACUACUCUAAAGUUGAACGCCCCCAGAACUGUUAUACGCACCCGGGAGCAGGAAACCCAACUGCGAAAGUGACUUUAAACUUCCGACCCCACGACAGCUAAGGUACAAACUGGGAUUAGAUACCCCAUUAUGCUUAGCCGUAAACUUUGAUAGUAUUGCACAACCUCUAUCCGCCCGGGAACUACGAGCGCUAGCUUAAAACCCAAAGGACUUGGCGGUGCUUCAGACCCCCCUAGAGGAGCCUGUUCUAGAACCGAUGAUCCCCGUUCAACCUCACCAUUUCUUGUUCCUCCCGCCUAUAUACCGCCGUCGCCAGCCUACCCUUUAAAGGUUCCACAGUAGGCGAAACUAGCACUCCUUAAAACGUCAGGUCGAGGUGUAGCGUAUGAAAUGGGAAGAAAUGGGCUACAUUCUCUGAGUCAGAGAACUACGAAAGAAGCCCUGAAACGAGCUUCUGAAGGUGGAUUUAGCAGUAAGUUAGAAAACAGAGAGUUCAACUGAAAUUGGCUCUGAAGCGCGUACACACCGCCCGUCACUCUCCCCGACAAACCACUUAAAUUUAAAUAAAAAUUUUUAAAAAUAAGGGGAGGCAAGUCGUAACAUGGUAAGUGUACCGGAAGGUGCACUUGGAAAAA
rnacentral:ncRNA from 1 species